UUUCUAGUAAAAUUUUUAAAAAAGAUUUAAAAAUCUAAAAAAAAAAAAAAGAUCCUAGAUUAUUGAGCAUUUGCUGUAUGCCAGGCACUGGGCUAAGUGCUUUACAUACAUUAUCUCCUUUAGUCUUCACAACAACCAGAUGAGACAGAUGCUAUUUUUUUUACUUCUACUUUGCUACUGAGAAAUGGAGACUAAGGUUAAUGACUGCCAAGAUCAUGCAGUAAGGAAGUGGGACAGAGCCAGGAUUUGAACUCCUGGACAGAAAGCCCUCUUUCCUCCAUAUACAGUUCUUCCUGCUUCUCAUGCCCCUUGACAAGCCCUCUAUCUGGUCUGCCUCCUCCCUCAGGAUGCCCUCCCUGAUUGGUGGUGAUGGUGGGGCAUAAGUCCUGCAUCCUCAGGUUAUUCUUCCUCCUGCCACCAGGAUGGGUAGGGGCAGGCUUUGUCCUGCACUGAGGACUCUGCUGUCCUUCAGAGAUGAAAACAAGGCUGUCUCAAGAGGUUUGGAGAGAGGAUACAUUAUGUUUUCUGUCUUCCUGCCUCAAUGUUUUCAUAGGGGCAUCAUCAGGAUAAAAUAGUGACAUCUGAGAAGUGGUUCACAGAGCACCUCCACAUGCACACAGUCAUUUGAGACACACCAUCACCCUGCAGAGUGGAAAAGCACGGAUAUUAGCCCAUUUUACAGAUGAGUAAACAAGACUUUGAGAGAUGAGGGACUUGCUCAAGGUUGCACAGUAGAGAGAAACAGCACUGGGACUGGGCUUUUCCCUGAGUCUUCGGGCAGUAAUCAAGGGCAGCAGAAAGGGUUCAGAGUUGUGAAAGGAUAACAUCUGCUGGGGGAGGAGGAGGGAAGGCCGCGGAACCCAGGAGAGGCUGAAGGAGGAGGUGUGGUGAAAGGGACUGGUGGCUUGCUGGGGGCAGCGCUGAUGUCAGUACUCACUGGAUGGCCCAUAGUUGUUAAAAUACUCAAGUACUUCCAUGCUGGUAAGCCAAGGGCUGCUGUCUGAGCCUUCUGCCUCCUUUCCCUAGGGCUACCCUGCUCCCCCAAAUCCAGCAACUGCAGGGGACAGUUAGCAUCCUGCUCAGCAGAGGACCUCUAAGACCCACCACCUUCCCAAUGCUCCACUCUGAUUGGUUGGUGCCCAUGCCAUUCUGGAUGGUCUGUGUUUCCAUGUUUCGACAAGCCUCCAAGAUGCCUCCCCUUGGCUGUCUCCCACUGACGCAUUUCCAAAGUGCUUCUGUUUAAAACUGAAUAUUGCUACCCUAGGAAACAACUCCCAGGAAACAACAACUUAACAAACAGGCUUCUCUUUCUAAGGAUUCAUUUCUGUCAGGGGCACCAUAGCCAAAGCAGUCUUUCAUACGGGAACCUUGGGGAGCAACCAUCCUUGGUCUCUGUGGAAGGGUUUCAGAGCUGUGAUCAUGCAUUUGCUUAAUCAGAAUGACCUUGGAAUCUUCUCUGUGAAGCAAGGACUGUUAUCUUAUCUAAUAAAAGACAAACAUGCAAA